GGAGUUUGGACCGUGUCUCAGUUCCAAUGUGGGGGACCUUCCUCUCAGAACCCCUACUGAUCGUGGGCUUGGUGGGCCGUUACCCCGCCAACAACCUAAUCAGACGCAUCCCCAUCCUAUACCGGUAAACCUUUGCUUCAUUUCAGAUGUCUUCUACGAAGAACAUAGAGUAUUAAUCCGACUUUCGCCGGGCUAUCCUCUAGUAUAGGGAAGGUUGGAUACGCGUUACUCACCCGUGCGCCGGUCGCCAUCAAAGUUUGCAAGCAAACUUCAUGCUGCCCCUCGACUUGCAUGUGUUAAGCCUGUAGCUAGCGUUCAUC
rnacentral:rRNA from 1 species